rnacentral:piRNA from 1 species
UUCACCAAGUACGAUGGGAUGGGAUUC